ensembl:lncRNA
AUGAACAUCACAGUAACAUGUGGAGAUAUUCACACCUCUGUGGGGUUUGUGUAUGUAGUUUUUUCUGCUGUCUUCAAUCAUACACUCAAUGUUGACUGUGAGCAGAGCUGGCAUUUAGAGGAUGGAGUUAUGAUAGCAGAUCCAUCAGCUCCUCACACACUGAUUGAUCCUGUUAUUUCUGUCUCAUCUGAUCGUCUCGUCACGUCUCACUGUGUGAAUCUGAAGCAUGAGAUCCGCUGUGAUUCUGCUGGAUCUCAUUUCAGUCAUGAGAUCAUGUUCAGAGUGUGGAAUGAAACUGCAGUGACUCAAAACUCAGAUGAUCUGAAUGAAGUGACUCCAGAUCUCCAACGGUCAGAUCAGUUGUGGUGGCUUGUGGCUCUUUUCAUCAUCAUUGUUCUGGCAUUUCUCUGUUUCUUGCUGCGUAAAAGUAUCUUCAGGUGAGACUGAUCUCAGUUCAGUCAGUAAAUCACACACUAGUUCUAAAUGAUAAGACUCUGAUGGAAAUGUUUAAUAAUAAACGUUAUUCUGUUUUCA